AGGAACAAGUUCCAGUGUUCUUUAUCACUGUAGGAUGACUGUAGUUUACAAUAACAUAUAGUUCAAAUAGCUAGAAGGAGGAUAUUGUACAUUCCCAACACAAAGAAAUAAUAAAUGUUGGAGAUGAUGGAUGUGCUACGCACCCUCAUCUGAUCACACUAUACAUUAUAGGUGUUGAAGCAUCACGGUUAAUGUGCACAUUAUUAAUAUGUCAAUUUAAAAAAUAAAAUAAAAAAUUCUAGAAAAAUGUUGCCGGGAGCUGCGGGUGAGGGAGGGGGGGUGUUCUAUAUCAUGACUGUGGUUGUGGUUACAUGACUGUAAAUUUGUUAAAUGAAUUGAACACUGAAUAUAGGUGAAUUUCAUCCUUUGUAAAUUGUACCUCAAUAAAA